rnacentral:rRNA from 1 species
GACGAACGCUGGCGGCGUGCUUAACACAUGCAAGUCGAGCGAGGCCACCUCUGUCUUUGACGGAGGUGUUCGAGCGGCGAACGGGUGAGUAACACGUGAGUAAUCUGCCCUUCACUUGGGGAUAACCUCCGGAAACGGUGGCUAAUACCCGAUACGACCACGGAUUGCCUGAUCCGUGGUGGAAAGAGUCUAUUGGUGGAGGAUGUGCUCGCGGCCUAUCAGCUUGUUGGGGGGUAAUGGCCUACCAAGGCUUCGACGGGUAGCCGGCCUGAGAGGGUGACCGGCCACACUGGGACUGAGACACGGCCCAGACUCCUACGGGAGGCAGCAGUGGGGAAUAUUGGACAAUGGGCGAAAGCCUGAUCCAGCAACGCCGCGUGGGGAUGACGGCCUCGGUU